GACAGAGGUGCCGAGCGUUAGGCGGAAUCACUGGGCUUAAAGCGUGUGUAGGCGGGUCGUUAAGUGCCUUGUGAAAUCCCACAGCUCACCUGUGGAACUGCUUGGCAUACUGGCGAUCUUGAGCCACUUAGGGGCAACCGGAACAAACGGUGGAGCGGUGAAAUGCGUAGAUAUCAUUUGGAACGCCAAUGGUGAAAACAGGUAGCUGGGGCUGUGCUGACGCUGAGACACGAAAGCCAGGGGAGCAAACGGG
rnacentral:rRNA from 1 species